UGAGGAACAUGACCUUCGGCGGGGGAGUAGCCGGCCCAACGGCCGGGUAAUACCGCGUACGACCACAUGGGGACGAUCCCUGAGUGGUGAAAGCAGCAAUGCGCCGAUGGAGUGCCUCGCGGCCUAUCAGCUAGUUGGUGAGGUAAUGGCUCACCAAGGCGACGACGGGUAGCUGGUCUGAGAGGAUGAUCAGCCACAUUGGGACUGAGACACGGCCCAGACUCCG
rnacentral:rRNA from 1 species